ensembl:lncRNA
UCGAUAAAUCAUGGAGGCGUGCGACAUCGUACAGAACUCGCGGUAAACACGCCCGGCCCGGGCCGCCUCUACUGCGCAGGACCAGAGAUGCUGGGGCUUCUGCACCACAGGCAGAGCGGCGACUACCCUAUUCAGUAGACUACAGCUUUCCCAGUUCCUGUUUCCGCCGCAGCCUUUCCACCCGAAUUUGUACCCAAACAUCUCUGCGUCAGAUUCAACUUCUUCAGCCCCGAUGGAUCUCGCCGAACGCCGCUGCUGCUGUGUGGCAAGGCUCCACAGCUGAAGGUAGCCCCUCCCCUCCGGCGCCGCUGACAGAGAGCGGUCAGGCUGCGGUUUGGAACUCGCCCCGCACCGAGGAGCCGAGGAAGCGGAGCGCGCGCGAACACGGAAGAGAGACGUGCGGCAAAGCGACACGGCGUCACCGCGGCUGGACCCUCGCGCAGAAACGCCGGACGUCUUUGCGCCAGCCAUGCUUUAGCACGCCCCCUCCGUCCGGUUUUAACCUGAGACACACCCCUCCCUCCCCUUCUCCCC